rnacentral:rRNA from 1 species
UACGUAGGGUGCGAGCGUUAAUCGGAAUUACUGGGCGUAAAGCGUGCGCAGGCGGUUCGUUGUGUCGGCGGUGAAAGCCCCGGGCUUAACCUGGGAAUGGCCGUUGAAACUGGCGAACUGGAGUGUGGCAGAGGGGGGUGGAAUUCCGCGUGUAGCAGUGAAAUGCGUAGAGAUGCGGAGGAACACCGAUGGCGAAGGCAGCCCCCUGGGCUAACACUGACGCUCAGGCACGAAAGCGUGGGGAGCGAACAGG